UAGUGACUUAGUAUGCAAUCCAUACAAAACUUUGUGAGCAUCUUUUUCCUGUGUUUUUGGAUGUGUUAUUUUUUUUUUUGGUUUACCUAGAAUCUGCAGUCCAGUAAUCUAUUUGAAGAUUCACCCUUGCUGAUGUUGCUAGAAUAUUGGCUAUACAUACAUUCAUGUAUCACAUACUUACUUUCUACUAACAAUUCGAUAAAAGCAUCGGCUAAAUAACUUCAUAACCAAAUAGGAUAUGGUUUAUAUUUGCAAAUGGCUUCUUGCAUUUGUGAUGGGUAACCAAGGUUUACUCUGCAGUGUUACUCCAUUACCAAGGAAAAAACUGCUAAAUUAUUAUUUUCCAGUUUCUGAUACGAUUUGUUUCUGUUAUUUGUAGCCAUGCAGACACAGGUGUCUCCUGUCAGUGCAGACUUCGGAACAACCUCUCUUUUGCCACACUCACUGCUGACUUCAACACCAAUAAAGGGCCCAGGCUGGUGACCUAGCAAGAGACCACGGCUUGAGUUGGAGGAAGAGGAGGAGAGUGACUCCUCAAGUCAUUCCACAGUCUGAUAUUGCGUUUUGCUCCAAAGAAUGUGUUUUUUCCCUUCAUGGGAAUGUUGUGCAGUUGUAUCUAGCAUCAAUGCACCACAAUGAAAAUGCAUCACAGGAGCAAGCUACGACUUCUGCAGUGCAGGCGAAGAGUGGGGAAGGUGUUGUGAAGGCCGUGAAAACAGAUCCAACAUUCAACUAUGUACAUGACCUCAUGAGGCUGCUCAUGGAGGUUUUUGAGGACCCAACAUCAUUUGAAGAGGAAAUGAAGACUAUCCCCAUCCCUCCAGACCUUUCAGCGGAAUAGACACACUCUCCCAAGGCUGAGCUGGUUGCCCGUCACGUCUCCCGCUUCAAUCAAGAGGUGGUCUGAAGACUACGAAGUCACCAGAUGGGAACUGCUUCCAUAUCCGCUGCACCACACAUGACGGGAUGACGACCCGACAACUAUGUCCUAAAUAUCCCCAACACCAGCUUACAAAGCUGCGAUAGGCAAGAUGCCGGAAACGCCUAAGGGACAAGGAGCGGAACUUUCUGUUAAACUGUUUUCAACAAUAACCUCUUAUAGGCUGGGCCUAUACUGGGCAGCCCCCACCUCCAAACGAAACCAACUCUUUUUGAAUGGUCUGACCAUGCUCAACAUAAAAAAAUAGUUGGCUUCGUUAGGAGGUGAGGGUGCACAGUAAGGCCCCGUAGCUCGCGGCCUUAUAGUUUGUUUUUCUUUUAAUGGUAAAUUGAUUCAAAUCACAUAAUAAUAUUAAUAGUAUAAUAUUGCUUUGGUUUUGUUUAGUGGGAGCUUACAGCCAAAAUGACUUACUCUUCAUCUGUUGUGUGCCUCCCAGGUCCAUAAUCAUACUUGUGUAUAUUGUAGAUAUUUUGUAGACUGUAUGUGUUUGUGUGCAUGUUGUGUCAUGCAGGUUGUGUCAUGCGGGUUAUUGAUUCUGGCACUUAGCUCAUUCAUCUUAGUACCUAAUAAAUACAAUAAGACAAAAUAACUACUGUGUAAAGUGACUGAGUACAACAUGACUGCAUAGGACAAUACAGAUUCAGGAAGCAACAUCUGUUUUCCAGUCAUACUUUUAUUGAAAAAAAAAUUUAAAUCACUGAUUAGUUCUACAUAACACUGAUUGAUAUUGUAAACACAUGGCUGAGACAACAGUGAACAGGUGAGAUUUCUUGUAACUGGUAUUGCUGAAGCAACAUCUAUUCGAGUAGGAUUGUUAUUUACAAAAAAUGUUAUCACUAAUGAAUAACAAACAUGGUACAGUUGGCUGGAACUAAAGUUAACAGGUGAGAAUGAUGAGAUUACUCGUUUUCCAUUACAAGUGGACUGAUAUUACUGUUGCUAUAUGGUAGAGAUGAUCUAAACAUGCAAUAUAGUUUACUAGAAGUUAAUUAUAAGGUUUUGUGAUGAUAGUGGUAGGCUACUCAUCUUCUGAGGAUAUAUAUAUGUAUAUAUAUGUAUAUAU